rnacentral:rRNA from 1 species
AGUGAACGCUGGCGGUAGGCCUAACACAUGCAAGUCGAACGGCAGCACAGUAAGAGCUUGCUCUUACGGGUGGCGAGUGGCGGACGGGUGAGGAAUACAUCGGAAUCUACUUUUUCUUGGGGGAUAACGUAGGGAAACUUACGCUAAUACCGCAUACGACCUACGGGUGAAAGCAGGGGAUCUUCGGACCUUGCGCGAUUGAUUGAGCCCAUGUCGCAUUAGCUAGUUGGUAGGGUAAAGGCUUACCAAGGCAACGAUGCGUAGCUGACCUGAGAGGAUGAUCGGCCACACUGGAACUGAGACACGGUCCAGACUCCUACGGGAGGCAGCAGUAGGGAAUCUUCCGCAAUGGGCGAAAGCCUGACGGAGCAACGCCGCGUGAGUGAUGAAGGUCUUCGGAUCGUAAAACUCUGUUAUUAGGGAAGAACAUAUGUGUAAGUAACUGUGCACAUCUUGACGGUACCUAAUCAGAAAGCCACGGCUAACUACGUG